rnacentral:rRNA from 1 species
ACGAACGCUGGCGGCGUGCCUAAUACAUGCAAGUUGAGCGCUGAAGGUUGGUACUUGUACCAACUGGAUGAGCAGCGAACGGGUGAGUAACGCGUGGGGAAUCUGCCUUUGAGCGGGGGACAACAUUUGGAAACGAAUGCUAAUACCGCAUAAAAACUUUAAACACAAGUUUUAAGUUUGAAAGAUGCAAUUGCAUCACUCAAAGAUGAUCCCGCGUUGUAUUAGCUAGUUGGUGAGGUAAAGGCUCACCAAGGCGAUGAUACAUAGCCGACCUGAGAGGGUGAUCGGCCACAUUGGGACUGAGACACGGCCCAAACUCCUACGGGAGGCAGCAGUAGGGAAUCUUCGGCAAUGGACGAAAGUCUGACCGAGCAACGCUGCGUGAGUGAAGAAGGUUUUCGGAUCGUAAAACUCUGUUGGUAGAGAAGAACGUUGGUGAGAGUGGAAAGCUCAUCAAGUGACGGUAACUACCCAGAAAGGGACGGCUAACUACGUG